rnacentral:rRNA from 1 species
UACGUAGGCAGCGAGCGUUGUUCGGAGUUACUGGGCGUAAAGGGUGCGUAGGCGGUUGUUUAAGUUUGGUGUGAAAGCCCCCGGCUCAACUGGGGAGGGUCACGCGAUACUGCUCGACUCGAAGGCAGGAGAGGGAAGUGGAAUUCCCGGUGUAGUGGUGGAAUGCGUAGAUAUCGGGAGGAACACCGGUGGCGAAGGCGACUUCCUGGCCUGUUCUUGACGCUGAGGCGCGAAAGCUAGGGUAGCAAACGGG